UACGGGGGGAGCAAGCGUUGUUCGGAUUUACUGGGCGUAAAGGGCGCGUAGGCGGCGUGACAAGUCACUUGUGAAAUCUCCGGGCUUAACCCGGAGCGGCCAAGUGAUACUGUCGUGCUAGAGUGCGGAAGGGGCUACUGGAAUUCUCGGUGUAGCGGUGAAAUGCGUAGAUAUCGAGAGGAACACCGGUGGCGAAGGCGGGUCUCUGGGCCGAUACUGACGCUGAGGAGCGAAAGCGUGGGGAGCGAACAGG
rnacentral:rRNA from 1 species